rnacentral:sRNA from 1 species
GAUGGAGAAGAGCAGCCCGGGCCGGUCAGAGCACACGCCUGUGAAGCAGAAGCGCAGCUUCCAGUAGAAGAGGUGCUCCCAGAUGAAGAUGCCCGUAAGCCACAGUGUCUCCAGCUCCUCCAUCUCACCUGCACAGAACACAGCAGCCACAGGCAGUGAGGACCCAAGCGCAGGCCUUGGUGUAGACCCUUCUGAGGUGGGAACAGGGCAAGUGAGAUAUCUCAGUCCCUGAGAGUGCUGGCUGCCAAGCCCGUCGACCCAAGUUUGAUCCCUGGGAGCCACACGGUGGAAAGAGAGGACAGAACCCUGCAAGUUGUCAUCUAACGUCCAUGUAUGUGUAUUGACUUCACUUGUGCACAUAAAGAGUUAAAUAUUAAAGAUAAAAACUUCCUCUAUUGUUGCUUUAAAUAUUGGCUCCCCAUCUUACCUUUUUAAAAAAAAUAUUCCUCUCUAAGUCUUCCAAACCUUGGCAACUAUUGGUCUGUGGGGUUUUCCUUCCCACAGUGCCACAUAGUUAGAAAUAUGUGGUGUGUGGCCUUUUCAGGCUGGCUUCUUUCACUGGAUAAUGUGCACGUGCAUGUCCCUUCUGGAUCCAGAGCUCAUUUCUUUGCAUUACUGGGUUCCACGAUCUAGAUAUGCUUUGUAUAUCUGCUUAUCUAUUGCUGUUGAGGUUGGCUGUUCCCAAAUUUUAACCAUUACAAAUAAAGCCACUGCAAACCUUGAUUACUGGAGAUCUUGGGUUGGAGAUUUUUGACUCCUUUGGUUAAAAUAUCUAGAGGCAUUUUUCUGAGUUCUCUGGAUUACGUGGAUAAAAAUAAAAGUUGAGCUUUUUAGAAAACUGCCAAGCUAUCUUCCAAAUCGACAGCACUGUUUCAGAUUCUACCUCCCCACAGUAGCUGACUAGGGUGCCAAUGUUUGUGCAAGAUGUUUACUCUUUUCCUAGGCUGACGAUGCUACCUGGUCACUGUGAUUAGCAAUUCCCUAAUGACCCAUAAUAAUUCAUUUUGUCCUAAAAAUUUUAGCACAGUGUGUUCUCAGUCUAACCUUUAGAUUACUGACUUUAUUUUCAUGUUUGUUUAUCUCUGUGGGUUGGAGUUGACUGAUCCCCAUGAAGAUCCAUUCCCUAGUUCAUUUGCUCUUUAGUUGGUAAUAUUUCAUUUCAUGCUCUCAUCCUAAUCUAUUUAUCUUACAUGAGACAGUUAUUUCUCUCCUCGCUUCACCCGGGACUUUCAUCAGGAUUUUCAUACCUCUUCUACUUUGGUGAUUUCAAAUCUAUAGUCAAGGGGAUAAUUCUGUUUGUUUCUUGUUGUUUUGAGACAGGGUUUCUCUCUGUAGCCCUGACUGUCCUGGAACUUACUCUGUAGACCACACUGGCCUUGAACUGAGAUCUGCCUGUCUCUGCUUCCUGAAUGCUGGGAUUGAAGGGGUGUGGCACCACUGAAGAGAGCCAUUCCUCUGUUUGCUCUAUGUUCUUACUCAUGGUAAUUGAUUUCCUGUGAUGGCUGGAAUCUUUUAAUUUACUUAGUGUUUGGUGGUUUUAUACAUGGAUACAAUGUACUUAGAGCAUAUCUUCCUCUGUUUACCCCCUUCAGCUCUUCCUGAGUGUGCCCUACAAUCUCCUCCAAGACUCAUAUUUUUUUUUAUUUUGUAAUAACCCACUGGGUCCCAUAACUGCUGCUGCUUUGUUUGCAGGUAUAAGAUAUCACUGACUGAAGCAUGCUGGCAACCUACCAUGGCAACCACACUGCUGAAGAAAACAGACUUUUCCUUCCCCAUUGGCCAAAAGCUACCAGUGGCAACUUAGCUAGGAGUAGGUAGAGCUUUGUGAGCCCCUUCCCUGUCCAUGCUAGAAUGGUGGCUAGCUUGGUCUUGUCCCAGCAACCAUAGCUGUUGUAAGUUUGUGAGCAUUAUUGUUCUGUCAUGUCCAGAAGACAGCAUUUCUUAGCCAUCUCCGCUGACAUCUGGCCCUUACUGUUAUCUGCUCCCUCUUCCAGUAUGUCCUCUGGGCCUGAAGGAUGCAGUGUGGUACGGACAUCUUGCCCGUGAGCAUGCCCCAUGCCCCAUCACUUUCCCAAUUUCAGGUUUCAGCAUUAACUGCUGCCUGUUGUGUACCUCUCUAACCUUUGACCCUGAGUUAAUCCUCUGCAGAGCUAAUCUCCCUUUAAAUAUCAUGAACUCCCUCAAGAUUGCAGGGUUGCAGAAAUGCCUUUACAGAUGGUUUUAGGGAUGGCUUCUACCCCAGCCCCAUGAGUUCUUACUGCAACCUUUUCCUGUAUGGAAAAGACUGAACAUGAUCACCAUUUAAGUGAUAUACAUUUGGAUUCUCCAAGUCAUCUGGGUUCCGCUUCUCACUCAGCUCCAAGCAGAAGGAAAACCUCCCAGCAUUCUUCGCUUUAAUGUACAGAGAUUUCCCCAAUUUCCUUUUCAUAGAUAGAAGUGACUCACAGGGAACAUGCAUAUUUAUGAGAGGAAAAAUAUUAAGAGCUCUAUCUCCCAGUAAGUUCGUCACCCAAGAUGUCAGUCCUGGUGAUUCAGCAUGGCAGGCAGAGUGGCAGGAAGGUGUAUCUUGACCCAAAUCUUUACCUUCUAACACAUACCAGCCCCGAACAAGCAGAGUGGCCGAUGUCAUGGAAGGCUGAUGCUUUCCCAUCCACCCAGCAGCACCACAGACUCAGCCAAGUCCCUCUGCCCAGCAGGAGCCUGGGCACUUAACAUAAAUGGCUCCUCUCUUUCUAAAGCCACCAAAGGUCACUUUCUAAAGGCCACCAAAGGUUUUUAGGAAGGUCACUUCCUAAAAACACAACACGACGUGGUUUUGAGUGUCCCCUCCCUUGGGACACAUAUAAAAAAAAUGGGUCUUUCUCCCCAGGAUUCAUCUAAAUCCAAAAAUAUCUUCUCUUUAGUGCUGUCUCAAAAAAAGUCAGGUUUGUAAGCCCGUGACACUGGCAGUCUGGCUAAAAAAAACAUGGACUGGAUUCCUUUUAAGAUGCAAAUACGAGGAAUUUUUGUCUUUGUCCUUGGCCUGAGCAUACCACACUUCUCUACAGAACUAAGCCAACCUGGUAAUGCCAAGCAGGAUUCCAACAGGACAGGGAAAUCCUAUUUCUCAGCAUCAACUACAGCCUGUUCAAAUCACUUUCCAGUUAGAUAGUUCCUGCCUUGUGGCCCUCUUCCUAGUGUAGUGAACUGUGGUUCAAAUUCUUUCUUAUCCCAGUUUUAAUUUGCUUGAGCAUAUUAUAAUCUCCUCCAGGAGGUCAGGGUCCAUGCUUUAUGAUCUGGGUAUUUCUCAUAGCCCACAGUACACACUAAGAACCAGAUCCAAACUUUCUCAUAGCCCACAGUGCACACACUAAGAAUCAGAGCCACACUCCCCAUUUCUAUUUUUUCUUUGUAUUCUCAAGCUUACACUGGGCAGGACUACAAAACCGUGCAGACCUUUUUGCUGCUUCCUAGGCUUAUAAAUAGAGGGAAGGCAGGACACAUGGGGAUGUCGCAGUGGACGAGGAGUGGGCCUUGACAUUGAGGGUGCCCUGAGCUGCUGUGGAACAUCAAAUGUCAUUUUCACAAGGACAAGCUUGGCCUCCCACAUCCCAUGGUCAGUGACCUUACAAAGAGGCCACAGGGUCCUCAGUUUUAUCUAGGGAUAAACUGGACUCUCACAUGGGCAGGUGGAAGCUUGAGUUAUUUCCAGACUGCAGUAUCUUUUCUCCUCCUGGGAGAAGAUGGGUGCCCACGAAGGAUCUCCCUGUUCACACCUCUAGUGACAGUAACCCAUGGGACAUUGUCCCCAUUUCAAAGGUUCUUCUUAUUUCUGUCUUCUAGGGACAGAGAUGCAUUGUCAAGUGCAGGUGUCACGGUGACACAUCCUGUUACGUGGGUUCUAGAAAUCACAUUCAGGUUCCCUUCCUAAAACAUCACUGAAUGAACCAUCUCCCUAGUCCACCCUGAAUUUGUUUUUAUUUAGCAAAAUUACAUAAAAUCCACCAUAUUCCAUUACGGCCCUGUUUUAUUUGUGUGUGUC